GACGAACGCUGGCGGCGGGCUUAACACAUGCAAGUCGAACGGAAAGGCCCUGCUUUUGUGGGGUGCUCGAGUGGCGAACGGGUGAGUAACACGUGAGUAACCUGCCCUUGACUUUGGGGUAACUUCAGGAAACUGGGGCUAAUACCAGAUAGGAGCUCCUGCUGCAUGGUGGGGGUUGGAAAUUUUCGGCGGGUGGGGAUGGACUCGCGGCUGAUCAGCUUGGUGGUGGGGGAGCGGUUUACCAAGGCUUUGACGGGUAGGCGGCCUGAGAGGGUGACCGGCGACAUUGGGCCUGAGAUACGGCCCAGACUCCUACGGGGGGCAGCAGUGGGGAAUCUUGCACAAUGGGAGGACGUCUGAUGCAGCAACGCCGCGUUCGUGAUGACGGCCUUCGGGUUGUAAACCGCUUUCGCCUGUGACGAAGCGUGAGUGACGGUAAUGGGUAAAGAAGCACCGGCUAACUACGUG
rnacentral:rRNA from 1 species